UAGAGCACUGUUUCGGCAAGGGGGUCAUCCCGACUUACCAACCCGAUGCAAACUGCGAAUACCGGAGAAUGUUAUCACGGGAGACACACGGCGGGUGCUAACGUCCGUCGUGAAGAGGGAAACAACCCAGACCGCCAGCUAAGGUCCCAAAGUCAUGGUUAAGUGGGAAACGAUGUGGGAAGGCCCAGACAGCCAGGAUGUUGGCUUAGAAGCAGCCAUCAUUUAAAGAAAGCGUAAUAGCUCACUGGUCGAGUCGGCCUGCGCGGAAGAUGUAACGGGGCUAAACCAUGCACCGAAGCUGCGGCAGCGACACUAUGUGUUGUUGGGUAGGGGAGCG
rnacentral:rRNA from 1 species